rnacentral:rRNA from 1 species
AAUGAACGCUGGCGGCGUGCUUAACACAUGCAAGUCGAACGAGAAAGGGAUUGCUUGCAAUCCCGAGUAGAGUGGCGCACGGGUGAGUAACACGUAGAUAAUCUACCUUCAAGCCUGGAAUAACUAUUCGAAAGGAUAGCUAAUACCGGAUAAAGUUGAUUGACACAAGUUGAUUUAUGAAAGAUUGCCUCUUCUUGAAAGCAAUUGUUUGGAGACGAGUUUGCGGACCAUUAGUUUGUUGGUGGGGUAAAGGCCUACCAAGACUACGAUGGUUAGCUGGUCUGAGAGGAUGAUCAGCCACACUGGAACUGGUACACGGUCCAGACUCCUACGGGAGGCAGCAGUGAGGAAUUUUGCGCAAUGGGGGAAACCCUGACGCNGCAACGCCGCGUGAGUGAAGAAGGCCCUUGGGUCGUAAAGCUCUGUCGACAGGGAANAAAUUAACAUCAUCCAAUAGGUGUUGUUAUUGACGG